UUCUAUUUAAUGCAAGUAGCAUUCUAUUUCAUGCAAAUAACAGAAGCUUUUGCAAGGUCUCAUGUGUGUGUGGAUCGAAUAUGGUUCGAGCAUCUUUUCACUUUAUUCUCAACAGUGGCUAGAUCGGGGGAAUGAGAUUAAUCAGAGAUGGGCGGCUUGUUGGUGUACCGAGAGUGAGUUUCUGAUCGGGACUAGAUGAUGCUGGGUUGGCCGCCGCAACAGUCGCUGUGGGUGUUGCCUCCUUAGUGUCAGCUUUAGAGUCGGAUUGUAACAAGGAUGUACUGGCACCAUCCGUCGUUUGUGGGGUAGGGUCUUGUGGUAGUUAUGGAUGUAGCAUUUCAUGGUCAGGUGACCAUGUACUCGCAGAUUGGUCUUCAUGUUGGUAGCCAUGAUUUUGAAGCGGUCCAUUGAAGUGUCAAGUUUUGUCAAAUGUUAUGUACAUGCUCACGACUAUUUUGUUUGUAUGCGGAUUGAACACGCGAUAGAUGACUGUUUUUGCCGCCUCGGCCCAUAAGAGGGUUGGUACUUUUUCGCCGAACAGCAUGCUUCUUACCAUGUCUAGUAUUGUUUUGUUCUUACGCUCUGAUACCCCGUUUUGCUGAGGGAUACGGGGCGAGGCAAACUGCCUGUUGAUACCGUGUAAGUCGCAGAAUUUAGAGAAUUCUAGUGACUUACACUCGCCACCAUUGUCCGACCGGAGGGUGAAUAUACGGCAUCCUGUUUGGUUUUCUACAUGCUUCUUAACAAUACAAAACUUCUCGAAGGUUUGAUUUUUGUGUUUCAGAAAGUAGAUCUAUGUUUCACGAGUGAAUCAUCCGUAAAGGUCAAAAUAUUCGGCACCCCCGAGUGUUUGGUACGGCUUCUGAGCUGUAAGAACUAUACGUUUACUCAAUAAAUAAUACCAGAUUUCCGGAA